rnacentral:ncRNA from 1 species
UUAACUUGGCUUCAAUUUGUAAUGUGCAUAAGUAGAUACUUAAAUUUGUAUACAGUUAAAUAAGUGAACACAUGCAUCUUAUGCGGCAUAAUAUGUGGCUAAUUUGGAAAGAACACCAACGGCAAAAGCACUCUAUUGGACCGACACCGAGAGAGAGAGAUGAAAGCUAGGAGAGCGAAUGAAAUUAGAUAUCCCAGUAGUCCUAGCCAUAAACAAUGAAUACCAGGCGAUGUGUGUAUUAACUCGUGCGGUGCUGUAGCUAACGCAUUAAGUGCCCCGCC